AUACAGAGGGGGCAAGCGUUGUUCGGAAUUACUGGGCGUAAAGGGCGCGUAGGCGGCCUUCUAAGUCGAACGUGAAAUCCCCGGGCUCAACCCGGGAACUGCGUCCGAUACUGGAAGGCUUGAAUCCGGGAGAGGGAUGCGGAAUUCCAGGUGUAGCGGUGAAAUGCGUAGAUAUCUGGAGGAACACCGGUGGCGAAGGCGGCAUCCUGGAUCGGUAUUGACGCUGAGGGGCGAAAGCCAGGGGAGCAAACG
rnacentral:rRNA from 1 species